UCCUGUGGCCAUACCACCCUAAAUGUGCCCAAUCUCAUCUUAUCUUGGAAGCUAAGCAGGGUUGGGCCUGUUAGUACUUGUAUGGGAGAAAACCACUCUAGCAAAAAGAA
rnacentral:rRNA from 1 species